GCCGUGACGCUGUCUUUUAAGCGCCAGUUUCCAGGUUCCAGGUCCGACAACCAGGGAGCUCCUGGCCCGGGUGCCGCUAAAACCCGGAGAGGCCCCGCCCGCGAAAGCCAGGCUCGCCAUCCCCUUGCUGGGACGGGCCCAGUCACGACUCAGCGCCGAGCCGAGGUUCGGCCAGCGCAGCCGAGAUGCGUCCCGACCCGCCAGAAAGACCCAGGACGCGGCGCCAGAGCCACAAAAGCCGCAGGGACCAGGGGGCACGGCGGGCAGAGCCUGGACCGAAGUGCGAGGCCCGGCCCUGGCAGAUCCCGGCGGCUCUCGGCUCCGCCUCCGGCCCUGGCCUCUUCCCCCGGCCGGGUCGGGUCUUCCACUCUACUGUUUGGCUCUAAGAGAGACACUCUCCGUGCGCAGGGGGCUGGCUGCGGCCAUAAAUCUCGGCGCAGGGCCCUCCUUCCCGCUGCACGCACGGGUACUCCCGGUCGUCGACCCCGCGUCCCUACCGCACCAGAUGCCCCGCUCUCCAGGUCAGGGCCUGGGGGCCCCGAGACUGCGCAGGGAAUCCAGCCAGAAGCUUCCCCUUUCACCAGAGAGAGGGAGCGGCCCUGUCCACUCCGUGCCACCAUCUUCCAUCCCCGCGGUCACCGGACCCUGAGGUGGCCUGGGCCUCACCGCAUCGCUGCCUAGGGUAGGGGCGCCCGGACGGGGUGCUUACUCCUAGGAAGGCUAGAGGGGCGGGGAACAGGCCUUCGUGCUGGCGACCUGCAUCAGGCGGUUUGCUCUAUUGAUGGGGACGGCCACCUCCGAACCACCACCUCUUGCUCGGGACUUCGGGUGGGGACAACCGCGCAAGGGGGAGGCAUUCGCCCCUUCUGGGCGCCUCCCGAGAGCCCCACUGUGCCAGUGACGCGACGGCAGGCUGGCGCGUGGCAGAUGCCGGAGGCGGAGGGUUUGGAAACCUUGCUGGGAAACACUCACCCGGGGAGCUCCUUCCUAGAAUCUCUAAAAGCACAAGAGGAGGGACCGAGGCCCUCUGGCCGAGCCCAGGAGAAUUUGAGCCCUCGCCUCGGCGGCGGAAACGCCGCCUGGGAGUGGAGAGGCGGCUGAGCCACAUUCCAGCCGCGCCUCCCCCCUGGGCCCCAGCCCCGCGGCGCCCCAGGAAGCGCCUCCGAAAACAAAGCUCUGCGGUUUCAGCCCAAGGUUAAAGUCCACCGUGAGCAUUUUCUUCCCCCAGAAUCCAAGAGCGAUUGUGUUUCUCCAAAUAAACCACCAAUAAAUCAGCACUGGGCCGCC